UUUUAUUCCAAUCUAUGGAGAUCCAACCGUUGGAUUAUUCUGAUUUGGAGAUAUAUUGUACACAGCACAAUGAUAUAUAUUCUGACCGUAGGGUUCAAGGAAAUAAUCAAAGGUGGAUGAGUUGUUGCUAUUUGAAUCUAUUGCUAGUCUUAGUAAAACAUUUAGGAAGCUUGAUUUAAUUACAUGUUUUGAUGAAAUUAGAAUUGUGUGGGUGUAGGGUUUAUGUAAGAUAUAAUGGUAAAAUGUGCUCUUGUUAUUAGUGUUGUUAUAGAUUAAUUGUGUUGUAAAAUGUGUUAGGGAAGUUUUGAAAUUUGGAUGAAGGGACAUUGAG
rnacentral:lncRNA from 1 species